AAAAAUAUAUAUGAUUUAAUGUUUUGAAUUUUUAUAUAUUAAUUAAUGUAUAAUUAUUAUAUUUGAUUUUUAUUCUUUAAAAUAUAAAAACAAUAAAAUACAAUUCAUUUGGUUAAAAUCUAUAUCACAACUAAAUAAUUUGAAUUUGAAUUGUAUUUGUUUUGUUUAGUGUUUAAAACUAGAGGUAUCAAAAUGUCUCAACUCAACUCAAUCCAUGAACCCUAAUGAGUUGAAAAUUUUGACUCAAAUGAGUUAAUGGGUCAAAUGAGUUGAUGAGUUAAUUGGUUUGAUGAGUAAAAUGAGUUGGGUUGUAAUGGUUAAUGGUUUCAAUGGUUUACCCAAUUAACACAUCAAGUUUUGUAAAAUUGAAUUAAACUAAUUAAAAUCUCUAAACCAAUGUCAAUUUAAGUUUAACCAACACAUCUAAACCAAUUUAAUAAAUCAUUAUUUUUCCAAAUUUCUUAAAUAUAUAAGCGAUAAAAUUGAGAAAAAGUAAACUCGUAAAUUUUUUUUUAAAAAACAUAAACCCGUGAUUUUUCCGCCAAAAAUAAAAACAUGUGAUUAAAACUAAUAACCGAAACAAAGUUUGGAAGAUAAACCGACAAUAAGUCGGAGAUAGAUACGAACGAAGACGAAAAGCUAAAACAUAAAACGAAAUCUAAAGCCCGAUGUUAAUCGGAUUAGCAAAAGAUAGUAACAAGAUUCAAAGUUUUUUAUCUCUAAAAGAUUUGAGAGAAUUAAGAGAGAAAAAAACUUAUAUGACACAAAUACAUUUAAGAUUGUAUUUUGGUGAGCAAUUUAAACCAAAAUAACAUAAUUCUCAUAAUACAUUCAACACAUACAUUAAGGAGGGUCAACAUUAUCGAAUCGAGAUCCAC
rnacentral:sRNA from 1 species